UCAAGGCAUGAUGGCUGCUCCUCCUCCUUGAAGUUUCAUCCAUGGUGGGAACUCAAGCUGAUGAUGUUUUCUUCAUGUUUUCUCUUAAGAUCUCUUGUUCAAUCACCACAGGCUAUAAGAAAACGUGAUUUCUAGCUGCCUUGAGGCGUAAAAGUGCUUUUGGAAGCUUGUUCUUGGUUCAAUUCUUGGCAGCUGCAAAGGAGAUGGACACGGGAGUCCUGCCCUACGAGAUUAAUCAUCUGUACAUCCAC